rnacentral:rRNA from 1 species
ACGUAGGAGGCAAACGUUAUCCGGAUUUACUGGGCGUAAAGCGCGUGUAGGCGGUUCUGUAAGUAGGGCGUGAAAGCUCCUGGCUCAACUGGGAGAGGCCGUUCUAAACUGCAGAGCUAGAGGAUGGUAGAGGGAAGUGGAAUUCCGGGUGUAGCGGUGAAAUGCGCAGAUAUCCGGAGGAACACCAGUGGCGAAAGCGGCCUCCUGGACCGUACCUGACACUGAGGCGCGAAAGCUAGGGGAGCAAACGG